UAUAUUUAUCUGAGACCCACAGUUGUCUAACUGACCAGUGGGCAAGAAUGUUCAUGGCAUAAACUGGUAUACAAUGUGUAUGGCUAAACCACAUCCCUAUUUAAAUUAUACAUCGAUGUGUCUUAAUAUUGUUGCAUAGAUCUUCUAAUGUUUUGUAUAUUUGUCAUGAUUUCAUGCAUAGUCACUGCAUACAUUGUAUAAAAUGGUUACAUUGCAACUAUACUCAGUUUGUUAAUUGGUGUGUAUCUAAACAAUAAUUAAUUACUAACAUUCGUAGUAUGAUGGUAAUCACUCCAAUAUGUUUUUUUCCUUUAGUUUGGUUAACCUUCAGAAGAACCUUGAAGUUUAUUGGAAUGGAGUGACAGAUGGGGAGAGGAAAGUCAUGGAGGAGGUUAUGGAGAGGUUUAUGAAACCUUUGAAUAAUAAACACUGGGAAGGUGUUGAGGUGGCUAAGUACUGGAAGAAAAUCCAAAAAGCUUCUGAUUCAUGAAUACCAUAAGCUGCAACCAUUGGGAGGGGGUGGAAGAGAAACUCUACUGGAAAGCCAUACAAGAUGCCAAAAACCUGGGAAAAGACACCUUGCCCAACCUGGGGUGACACACCUACUUAGCAGUACACUAGGGCCUCAUUCACAACCAAGUUGAUCUAACUAGUCCGCAGAUCAAAUAUGGCACACACUUGACAAUGGAUUCCAGCCUCCCAUGUGUGCCGUCCCAGCAGGAGCAGGGCAAUUAAUUCUCGCCAUGCUUCUCAGUGGAUUGCGCCAUAUUUGAUCUGCGGACUAGUUAGUCUGCGGAUCAACUAUUUCUGAAUGCGCCCUAAGCCUUUUGCAGCUAGAUGACUAGAUGUUAAAUUCCUUUGUGUACUGAAGAGCUUGCUGUCCAGUAAACAAAAGAAUCAAAUCACAGUUCCUCUGAAGAUUUUUUUUGGAGAAAGACAUUAACACUGUAGUCAUGGUAAUUUAUUUUUAGAUUGACUUUCAUUUGGGGUCUUGUAGAAAGGAAUUUUCUUCAGUGCCAUCUAAAAUCGUAUGAUUAAUUUAUAGUGAUAUAACUUUGAAAGGCAUUCAGUGACAUAAUUAUUAUUUUGUGGGAUUUCAUAUGGAGGUAUGGGAAGCUGCCAUGUUUAUUGAUCAAUAUUGAAUUAUAGGUGAUUAAUAUUAAAUGCUAUCAGAGAUAUAUCACAUCAUAAUGGUUAUGUUACAUUAUAAUGGAGGUGGCUUUUUCUGUGUACCAAAAGAGCAGGGGAAUUCUUAGGAUGUGGUAAAAUGCUCAAAUAAAUUCUAAAUGAAGUGCAAAUAAAUAUUCAUAACAUUCCAUUGUCUAAUUGUUUACAUAUAACUGUAUAAUUUUGUAUUUUGUUAUAGUUAUACUUUAUUUUCAAACAUGAUUUAAUCAGUCAAUAAAGGUAUAUACAACACA